ACAUUGGGGAAUCCGUUUAAAUUUCAAAAAAAACUUCAAAUAUCAUUUAUGUGGUUUGAUAUUUGUUCACUUAAGUAUUCUGUAAUUUAAAAUAUAUUAAUUUUGUAUUAUAUUAUUUUAUUUUUAUUUUUUUAUUAUCAAUUCAAUUAUUUUUUUUUGUUAAAUUAGUGAUAAAGUUAAAAUUAAAGAGUAUUAAAGUGAAUAUUCAAUAAACCUAGAUGGAAUAUCUGAAGUUUUUUUUUCAUAUAAUUUAACGAAAUAUUAACGAAAAAACUGACGAUAAGAUAAAAAUGAAACCAUAUGACACUAAUUUGAUACACUUUAAACUAUAGGAUACUAAAGUAAGAAUGUACGAAACUACGGGGGUGGUAUUUGAAGUUUACCCUUAAUUAAAUAAG
rnacentral:lncRNA from 1 species